UUCUAUAAAAAAAAUUCCAA
rnacentral:miRNA from 1 species